CAGGACACCUGUUCACAAUCACCUCCAGCUACUUUAAACCCAGUUCAUUCAGUCACUUCUUGCUGGACUAUAGACUCUGUUCCCCUCUUGGAUUCUGUUCUCCCGCCGAGCCCUGCUACCUCCUGACUGCUUCCAUGGACUCUUCUCUUCUCCCCUCAGUUUCCCACCAAUUCCUGUUUUUGUUUCCUGUCUGUCUAUCUUGCCCCUUUAGCUUAGCUUCCCUGGUUUCUGUCAGCGGAGGAUCAUCAUCGUGGCUGUGGGUUUAGCAGCACUCAUAACAACUGCUGUGGCCGUCAGCAUCUGGGCAAGAAGUAAAGGAAAAAACACACAGAUGAAUGAAAAUGCGGUGUGUAAUGAUGAAGAUGAUGGGCUUUGAUCCUUCGGCUUCUGUUCAACUCUAUUGAUCAACAUCAUCUUACCAUAUAUUUGGAGGAGUAGUUGGAUGUUUUAGAAGACUGAUUCAUUUCAGACCAGCUGAUUCAUUUUCUCUCUCUCCUCAGCAGUAUGUAUUUCCUCACUAGUCCCUCAGUAUAUACACGACUGAUCCACCAUCAGACUGGGUUUGUGCACUUUACCAGAACUUUCCAGCAUUCAGAGCCUGUUUGUUCUUUAUUUUUGACCUCAGCAUGUAAAUAAGGAACUUUGUUUUAUCCUCAUCUUUCUGCCUUCUGAGUGAACCUGAGUAUCAUCCAAGUGAUUUUCACCUGCCUGUCACUGUCGUGCAUUUAAAUCUAUUUUCUCUGAGGAGACCUUGUUCAAUUUGACUAUGUUUUCUGAUUUCUUUGUGUGCAAAGAGUGUUCUGUUCAUUGUGAAUGGUGGAUAUUUUACUCGGUGGGUGUCCUGCUUUUGCUGAUAAUGAAUAACUUUGUUCUCAUGGGUGCUUCAAUGUGUCUAAAUAAAGAAACGUGUGUUUGCUGUU